rnacentral:tRNA from 1 species
GAGGGUACAGCUCAGUGGUAGAGUGCAUGCUUAGCAUGCAUGAGGUCCUGGGUUCGAUCCCCAGUGCCUCCA